GUCAGGGGCUGGCUCCUUUUGGUGUCACUUCCGUAGGUGAACCUGCGGAAGGAUCAUUA
rnacentral:rRNA from 1 species